GUCUUAUAUCAACCCGUCUUAAGAUCCCAUUCUCUCUCUUUAUACGAUCUGGAUGACACAGACGCCACUUCACGUUUCUGCUGAUUAUAACAGGGUUGAGAUAGUCAAAUUUCUUCUUGAUCGGCAAGGGACAAGUCAUAAGGUUGAGUUGGAAGCUAAGAACAUGGUAAGUAUUAAUAUAAUUGGUUUUUCUUUUGGAAAAAGUGCGUACAUUACAACGAUGCUUGGGAUUUAUUAAGCCUAUGCUCACGACUUAUUGAUCUUGUUAUUGAUUCCUGAGUGUCAAAUUGAUGUGCUUUGCAAUAUGGAGAAACUCCUUUGCACAUGGCAGCAAAGAAUGGAUGCAAUGAUGCUGCACAGUUACUUUGGUCAUGGUGCCAUUAUUGAAGCCAAAGCAAAUGUGCUUUUUCAUAUUACCUUGUGAUCCAUUUUUGAAGAGUUCAAAUUAAAAGUGGGAUUUGGAUUUUUGAUGGUAAACUCAAUUUUGUGCUGUCUUAUUAAUGCAGAAUGGAAUUACACCAUUAAAUCUUGUUGUUUGGUACUCACUUUGAGCUGAAGAUUGCUCGACUGUCAAUGCAUUGCUCGAGUACAAUGCUGAUUGUAGUGCUAAGGAUAAUGUACGAUGGAUUGCAAUCGUUUGAGGGGGAUUUUCCGAUGGUUAAAAGAACACCAAAAAGACUGGAAACUUUACUUUCUUUUUUAUCCCCGUAACUUUUCGUGCAACCAAAUAGAUUAGUUUCGUGUAGGCUCGAGAAAGAAAGUGUCCAUUGAAGAACAGAGUAAACCGAAAGUGUGGAGGAGGUGAGAAAUGGGGAAAAGAGAAAA